GUAUUUGUGGAGUCAAUGACCCCCUGUCACCUUUGCAUUUGGCCCCAGAACUUGGGUAUCUGUGUUCCAGCCCCCCUCUCUUUCUCAUUGUCUCCCUCAUUUAUCUUACCAAAUCCCUUCUUGUGAAGUGAUAUAUAUCCUCACUGAUGAACCCUUAAAGAAUACUUUAUAAAUGAAUUAGUCGCAUGAUUGCAUUGCUGGAAUUGUGGAUAAAAGUUAUAAAGAGAUGAGUAUUUAUUUAGAGUAGCUUUAUCAAUAAUGUGUAUAACUGUGGAAAGACUACUAUUAAAUAGUUGUUGUGAGAUUCACCAGAAUGUAGAUGUACUACAGCACAGAUGCUUCGCACUAGACAGAAACGUCGAAAGAUUCAAGAUCAACGGGUUAUUUUUCUCGCGUUACAUUCUUGUGCCAAUCAUCAUCAAAUGGAUUUGACUUUGAAGAGCGUUUGUUAAAUGGCUUUUAAAAAACCAAAUGCUGUUCUCAUCACUUGUUAAUACAUAUUCUAUUUGUGGUCAGAAUUGUCAUGUCACGCCCUAUAACUAAAGCAAUGUUUGGGCUGAAAAUGAUGUGUUAAUAAUUUGACAACGAGCAUAUUUAUGCUUAUUAUUAUGUAGCUGCUGCAAAUCUAGCGAUGCUAUACAAUAAUAAUGAUGGUCUUGUGUUUCAUCAACUGAAAUCUAAAAGUGCAAUGCAGUGAAUAGGACAACGUGUUAGAUUGUGUGCAUCGUGACACACUCAGUCAUCUAGAAAUGCAACUUUACAAGUCAGUAGAAAUGCACUGUAACUGUGUUGGAAGACCUAGUCCAAUACCUGUUGAGGUAAAACUGCAAUGCGGUUCACUCUGGUCUUACAUGCUGUUUUUGUCUUUGUCGUUUACUUCAUUUUGGUAGCACAAUAGGUACAUGUCCAACAUAAAUGUGAAAUAAUGUGUAAUACUGUACGUGUACACUUCCAAUGUAUAGUUUCCCUGUAAGUCCCACUGUUGUACACAACUGUCCUGUGUGACAAAGAUUCUUGUUUCCUAUAAUCACAGUCAUCAACGUAUAUCCAUGUUUUGUAUUAAAGCUUUUAUUAAUUUCUUAUAUUGGGGAAAUUAAAUACAUUUGACCUCUA
rnacentral:lncRNA from 1 species